GAGUUUGAUCCUGGCUCAGGAUGAACGCUGGCGGCGUGCCUAAUACAUGCAAGUCGAGCGAACAGACGAGGAGCUUGCUCCUCUGACGUUAGCGGCGGACGGGUGAGUAACACGUGGAUAACCUACCUAUAAGACUGGGAUAACUUCGGGAAACCGGAGCUAAUACCGGAUAAUAUAUUGAACCGCAUGGUUCAAUAGUGAAAGACGGUUUUGCUGUCACUUAUAGAUGGAUCCGCGCCGCAUUAGCUAGUUGGUAAGGUAACGGCUUACCAAGGCAACGAUGCGUAGCCGACCUGAGAGGGUGAUCGGCCACACUGGAACUGAGACACGGUCCAGACUCCUACGGGAGGCAGCAGUAGGGAAUCUUCCGCAAUGGGCGAAAGCCUGACGGAGCAACGCCGCGUGAGUGAUGAAGGUCUUCGGAUCGUAAAACUCUGUUAUUAGGGAAGAACAAAUGUGUAAGUAACUAUGCACGUCUUGACGGUACCUAAUCAGAAAGCCACGGCUAACUACGUGCCAG
rnacentral:rRNA from 1 species